rnacentral:rRNA from 1 species
GACGAACGCUGGCGGCGUGCUUAACACAUGCAAGUCGAACGGAAAGGCCCUGCUUUUGUGGGGUGCUCGAGUGGCGAACGGGUGAGUAACACGUGAGUAACCUGCCCUUGACUUUGGGAUAACUUCAGGAAACUGGGGCUAAUACCGGAUAGGAGCUCCUGCUGCAUGGUGGGGGUUGGAAAGUUUCGGCGGUUGGGGAUGGACUCGCGGCUUAUCAGCUUGUUGGUGGGGUAGUGGCUUACCAAGGCUUUGACGGGUAGCCGGCCUGAGAGGGUGACCGGCCACAUUGGGACUGAGAUACGGCCCAGACUCCUACGGGAGACAGCAGUGGGGAAUAUUGCACAAUGGGCGGAAGCCUGAUGCAGCAACGCCGCGUGCGGGAUGACGGCCUUCGGGUUGUAAACCGCUUUCGCCUGUGACGAAGCGUGAGUGACGGUAAUGGGUAAAGAAGCACCGGCUAACUACGUG